rnacentral:rRNA from 1 species
UUGGAGGGCAAGUCUGGUGCCAGCAGCCGCGGUAAUUCCAGCUCCAAUAGCGUAUAUUAAAGUUGUUGCAGUUAAAAAGCUCGUAGUUGAAUUUUAGGCCCGGUUGGACGGUCUGCUCUAGGGUUUGUACUGUCCUGACUGGGUCUUCCCUUCUGGUGAGCUGUCGUGUUGUUUACUCAGCGCGGCAGGGAACCAGGACUUUUACUUUGAAAAAAUUAGAGUGUUUAAAGCAGGCAUUCGCUUGAAUACAUUAGCAUUGAAUAAUAGAAUAGGACUUUGGUUCUAUUUUGUUGGUUUUUA